rnacentral:rRNA from 11 species
UAUACUGACUAUAAUACCUAAAGAAGCAAAUCCAAUCUGAUCUUGGGAACUAAGCUGGGCUAGCCAUGGUAUGUAUUUGAAUGGGAGUCUGCAAACAAAUUCCAAGUACUUUAUAUAC